rnacentral:lncRNA from 1 species
AGGAGUAAUGGCUUCCCGAAAAGAACUAUAGAGAAAAAGAAGGCAGAAUAACCCAGGUGCCUGAGCAUCUUUGAGGAGGCCCCGAUGUGACUACCUGAAACCAGUCUAUGUCAGCACUUCUUGCUACCUGAGAUAUACAUUAUUCAUGGUUUAAGCCAUUCUGAGUCAGGACUUUUUUUUUAUUGAAACUCGGAGCUGGAAAUAGCCAAGUUUACCCACCAAGAAUAACAUCUGGAUUAUGAACCCUGGAAAUAUAACCACUGUCAUUUUGUGUCCCUGGACUAUAUUAAGCUCUACCACAUGGUUUCCAACUUGAGAGUCACUUGUGAGUCAGCACGUUCUAUUUCAUCUUCCUCUAGAUCAUUUGCUGUUUGGUGGCUGGGCUAAAUUAAAAUUUAUAAACUCUAUCAUGUUAAAGUAAAUUAUAUUAUUAGUAUACAUAGUAAAUGUAUAUUAAAUUGUAUUUCUAUUAUAAUAUAAAUUUUAUUAUGUAUUAAGAAUAUUAUUAUCUGUUUUAGCCUAAUUCAGACUGGUCAUUUUCUACAGAGGUUGUCUGUACAGGUGUAUGAGGAAAAGAAAAUCUUAUUUAUGAAUGGAGUGUGGUGAUACACCCUAUCCCGAGCUUUUGUCCCCACCAGCAAGAACAUGCUCAGGACAACCGGAAUCUUCUGCGGCAAAAGCUUUAUUGCUUACUUCUUUAGGAACAAGAGGAGAAGAAUAGGGGCGAAUGGCAAAACCCUGUCCCUUUUAUGGAGGAUUGUCCUCCGCCUCGGACAUGUCGCUCCCUGAUUGGCUGCAGCCCAUCAACCGAGUUGUCGUCAAGGGGAAGGCAGAGCACAUGGAGUGGAGAACUACCCCGGCACAUGCGCAGAUUAUUUGUUUACUACUUAGAACACAGGAUGUCGGCGCCAUCUUGUAAUGGUGAAUGUGAGGGUGGCUCCUCACAACAUCCCUUUAAUCCCAGUACUGAAGGCAGAGGCAGGUGGAUUUCUGAGUCUGAAGACAGCCUGGUAUAGAGAGCUAGUUCCAGGGCUAUACAAGAAGACUCUGUCUUGCAAAAAAUGAAACAAAACAAAAUAAAACAAAUGAAUAAACAAAAA